rnacentral:misc_RNA from 1 species
AGAAGGGAACGUGCGGAGAAGUCGCCAACCGCGUUCUCGCUGGAGAAUUCGGAACCGGCUGUACUCGCUCAAAGGACACAACGUAUGGAUGCACUGCCUUAAAACUGCACGUUGCUCGCAGCAAGAGGAACACGGCGGCAGGGAGAGGCCCGCGCCGCGCCCCACUUGGAGCUUCCGCCCAAGCACAAGGCUCAGCGAAACUGCGCACGAGCCGGGAGCUUGAAAACAAACACGAGAGCCUACGCCUUAUGAGCCCCCCGUCCUCUAGCAGCCAGAGGCAAUCGGGUCUUAGCCGCAAUUAGCGAGCGUAGCUUGCUGACAGCAGCAGCGGAGCUCUGAAACGCUGGAAGCCCGCGUCGAAGGAGCACGCUGCAGCCGCAGACACUCCUUACG